CUUUCCUCUAGGAAAACAGCUGAACACCAGCCACCCUAUGGUAAACUGUCAUGAGAAAUACCCUGAAUUUCAAAUAGCUUAAGGCUGGGAAACAUGGAUUGGCAGCAGGAGACUAAAGGAAGAUCCAGAUCAGUGUGAUUAUAUGUCUGGCUGGGGAGAAACAAAAAUAGAAGACGACACUACCAUGAGAGAACUGCAAGCCCAGAAGUCUUCUGUCUCUAGAUGGAUAAUGGUAGUGCACCUUCAAAGGCGAUGCCUGUUCUGUCUUCAGCAUCCCAGUACAAUGUUUCUGGCCUGCUGAUGGAUCCACAAGCUCCUGCUUGGUUCUCCAUCCUCUCACAGCAUUUGUGGAGACACAGCCAUGCUACCUUGAGAUCAGUACUACAGCCAGCAGAUGGCAGAGAGAUUUCAAAGAAUUUUCAUUUAUCUUUUGAAAAUGCAACAAAACUUCACAGCUAGGCUGUCUUGGUCAAAUAUUUAAAGCACAAUGGUUUUCAGAUUUGCAAGUUUGAAUGUUAUUUUUGUUUCUUCUCCUUCAACAGUUUGUCAACAAAAGCACAUCCAUUUACUAGCUGGUUCCUAUUAUUAGCAGGUAACAGUUAUUUUAAAACAGAAAGCGUAUAAAAUCUAUCAUUUUGACUGCCCCUUAUUUUCUUGGAGUUACACAGCUUACAUAGUGGAAUGUCUUUCAAAAACAAAACUUUAGCAGUACGGAAAUAAGAACAAACUGGGUAUUGCUUAUUGUCUGUGAUUUCACAAAUUGUCUUGAAAUUGGAAGCAAACUACGUGACAGAAGAGCCAAGAUAAUAGAAAAUGACAGAGAAUAAAUGAAUUCUAUUUGCUAUUUUUCCACUUUUUUUUUUAAUAUGCUGCUUUUAUCCAUUUGAAAGAGACAUAGCUUUUUAAAGUGAUUUCAGAUACCCUGCCCUAUACUGCUGAGUUAUUUUUUUUUAGUUCUGUAAAUCAGAAAAAAAAUAUUGCAAGGACACUCAAGGGAAAAAAGAACCCAGCUCUACAAAAUGCUAGAAGAGGGCAUCCAGAUCCCUUUUGACAUGACAAAACCUUUGCAAGACCAAGGCGAAAGAAGUCAAGAGGUGUGUGGAAGAAAUAUGUAAACCCUUUAAAAGCAAAAUUAAUUACACAACAGGUACCCUUUUUUGUUAAGGAAUAUUGAACAUCUUGCAUUGCCUAAAUAGUAAAGUUUCAUUUGAGAGUUAUUGGAUUCAUUUAGGAAAUAAUAAAAUUUCAUGGUCUGUCUAAAGUAGGAAGUCAAGAGUAGAUUAUUAUCUUUUUGCUAUGAAGUCCUAUUAAUACAGUAAGGGAAUGUAAGUAAAGCUUAAAUCUUUGAAGUUUUUAUGCUUCAAUAAUAAAAACCAAGGUGUUUAUGUUCCUGGAUAUGAGAAACAUGCACCUGGAAAUUCUUGUUUCCUUCUAAGAGUCUCCUGGAAUCUCUCUUUUGUCAUUUGUACUCUUUCUGUACAUCCAGUCAGCAGACAUAUAGGAAUAAAAGCUUCUAAUCACAUAGUUUUUAUUUCACCACUUCUUGUAGUAGGUUUUUUUUUCUGCCAGCUUUGAUUCCCAGUUAAAUGAACUUUUUAAUCACAACAUGAUACAUCUAUCCCUGGUGUAAUUACUCUUUAUCCAGUAUUACAGUUGUGAGUAGGUGGGUGACAGCUACAGCCAGUAUUUUCCUUGAAGUAAUUUCAGCAUAACUCUAGUGGCUAUUGCAGAAGGUAUGUUAAUAUUUUUUGAAUUUCCUUCAUAGCAGAAAAAUUUUAUCUGUGUCUUGGUCUACUGCCCAAAAUCUCAGUUGGAGAAGAAAAGGCUGUAUAUAUUGCACAUUCAUUACAUUCAGAGGGAGUACACAUCCUGAUGUUUAACUUUCAUGCCAAGCAAUAAAGGUAGAAACACUUUAAAGAGUCAGAGUUUUAUACCAGGGAGCUAGUUCUGUUCCCUAGAUUCAAAUAAUUUAAAGUAAUAAAACCUAUUUUGAAUUCACAGUUGAUAUUCUAUUUAAUGUCACACCAAGAAAUUAUUUUUUACAAGAUUUUUUUUCCUUUUUUUUUUUUUUUUCUCCAAAAUAUGUCCAGCAGUAAUAAGCUAGGGAAGGAUUGAAAAAACCUGAAAAUGUUAAGUGAGCAUUUGAA